UUGUAAUAUUACGUUUUUGAGGUUUCAUAAUUUCAGAGGUCCCUAAAUGUUUGAACUUUAUGUACAGCAACGUUAGUCAUUACGCAUAAUUACUCAACACAACAGUCCUUGCACUGCAGGCUAUCGAUACGUUGUAGUAUCAGUCUAAUCUUACAUUGUGUCGUAGGCUGUGAACGACGUGCCAGAUCUCUGCUAUGUUGGAUAUUUGUAUAUCAGAAUUACUAUUUUUAUUUGAUCUAUUUAUUGUUCAGUUGGUUAUUUGUUUGAACACUGAAGCCUACUGCCGCCCUACGUACGAUACGGAGAAAAUUCGAAAGUGAAAGUAGAAAUUGUGUACAGUACAAGUUAACAAUAACCAUCUCGAAGUUGAAGUUAAACACGCAAUCUGGAACUCGGUAUCACAUCUGACUCGCACUUCUGAAAUGGAUCAAAUAGGACUUUGUCGUCGAGACUCGGAAGAACCCAGCUGCCUAAAUUAUAAUGCCAGUGGAACUCAAAACAGAAAAGAUACUUUUAUACAAGACAUGGAGAAAAGAGCAGACUACAGCCUCUAUAUACCAUUCCUUGGUGCCUCCUUGAAUUGAUGUUUUUCAGGAUAACCAUGCAGGAAUAAAGGUUAACUCAGUAUAAAGUCUUGCUGACAUGAACAUGAUAAUCACAAGAAAGUGAACAUAUUUCAUCACCUUAAGCAAUCUUCAAAAUACCAGAUUGGAAAAAGAAAGAAGAUUUGUAGCAUUGUAUUGAAUAUGCCUGAUUAAAAGUAUUCAUGGAUAAA